rnacentral:rRNA from 1 species
CCUACGGGAGGCAGCAGUGGGGAAUAUUGGACAAUGGGCGCAAGCCUGAUCCAGCCAUACCGCGUGGGUGAAGAAGGCCUUCGGGUUGUAAAGCCCUUUUGUUGGGAAAGAAAUCCAGCUGGUUAAUACCCGGUUGGGAUGACGGUACCCAAAGAAUAAGCACCGGCUAACUUCGUGCCAGCAGCCGCGGUAAUACGAAGGGUGCAAGCGUUACUCGGAAUUACUGGGCGUAAAGCGUGCGUAGGUGGUCGUUUAAGUCUGUUGUGAAAGCCCUGGGCUCAACCUGGGAACUGCAGUGGAAACUGGACGACUAGAGUGUGGUAGAGGGUAGCGGAAUUCCUGGUGUAGCAGUGAAAUGCGUAGAGAUCAGGAGGAACAUCCAUGGCGAAGGCAGCUACCUGGACCAACACUGACACUGAGGCACGAAAGCGUGGGGAGCAAACAGGAUUAGAUACCCUGGUAG